rnacentral:rRNA from 1 species
CGUAGGUGGCAAGCGUUGUCCGGAUUUAUUGGGUUUAAAGGGUGCGUAGGCGGUCCUAUAAGUCAGUGGUGAAAUACGGCAGCUCAACUGUCGAGGUGCCAUUGAUACUGCAGGACUAGAGUACUGAUGAGGUAGGCGGAAUGGACGGUGUAGCGGUGAAAUGCUUAGAUAUCGUCCAGAACACCGAUAGCGAAGGCAGCUUACUAAAGAGUAACUGACGCUGAGGCACGAAAGUGUGGGGAUCAAACAGGAUUAGAUACCCUGGUAGUCCACACUGUAAACGUUGAUCACUAGAUGUUGGCGAUACACUGCCAGCGUUCCAGCAAAAGCGAUAAGUGAUCCACCGUGGGGAUACGCCCGCAAGGGUG